GAGUUUUGCAUAAUCUAUCAAUAAUAACAAUAUGAAUAAAUGUCUUUUGCACUUCCGAAUAGUUGUGUCUGUUAAAAUAUUAUUGACGUUUACUUUUUUACAUUUGUGUCUUUUCAUCGUAAAUAGUUGUGUCUGUUAAAAUACUGACAGUUACGUUUUUACAUUCUUGUCUUUUCAUUGUAAACAUUUUUGUCUAUUUAAUAUUGACGGUUAUGUUUUUACAUUCAUGCCUUUUCAUCGUAAACAGUUGAGUCUGUUAAAAUAUAGACGGUUAGUUUUGGUUGUAAAGACUUUGACUUUAAAUUUUGGCUGUACAAACUUUGACUGUAGAGACUUUGACUGUAAAAACUUUGGCUGUUAAAAUCUGAUUGAUAGAACAAAACUGUAGAAGCUGUGACUGUUAUUUUUUAGGAUUAUAUAUAUUCAGAAUAAAUAUAAAUAUAUUAUAAAUGAACUCAUGUGAUAAUAUAAUUUUAUUAAUGAUAAGAAUUUUAAAAAAUAAAAAUAUCAUAAAUAAAUGCAUAGAAAAAUAUUCUA
rnacentral:sRNA from 1 species